UAAGUCUGAUGUGAAAGCCCCCGGCCAACCGGGGAGGGUCAUUGGAAACUGGGAGACUUGAGUGCAGAACAGGAGAGUGGAAUUCCAUGUGUAGCGGUGAAAUGCGUAGAUAUAUGGAGGAACACCAGUGGCGAAGGCGGCUCUCUGGUCUGUAACUGACGCUGAGGCUCGAAAGCGUGGGGAGCGAACAGGAUUAGAUACCCUGGUAGUCCACGCCGUAAACGAUGAGUGCUAAGUGUUGGAGGGUUUCCGCCCUUCAGUGCUGCAGCAAACGCAUUAAGCACUCCGCCUGGGGAGUACGACCGCAAGGUUGAAACUCAAAGGAAUUGACGGGGGCCCGCACAAGCGGUGGAGCAUGUGGUUUAAUUCCAASCAACGCGAAGAACCUUACCAGGUCUUGACAUCCUUUGACCACUCUAGAGAUAGAGCUUCCCCUUCGGGGGCAAAGUGACAGGUGGUGCAUGGUUGUCGUCAGCUCGUGUCGUGAGAUGUUGGGUUAAGUCCCGCAACGAGCGCAACCCUUAUUGUUCGUUGCCAUCAUUUAGUUGGGCACUCUAGCGAGACUGCCGGUGACAAACCCGAGGAAGGUGGGGAUGA
rnacentral:rRNA from 1 species